GGCGGCGUGCUUAACACAUGCAAGUCGUGCGAGAAAGCUCCUUCGGGAGUGAGUAGAGCGGCGGACGGGUGAGUAAUGCGUGAAUAACCUGCCCACAGGACUGGGAUAACUUCGGGAAACUGGAGCUAAUACCGGAUAAGACCACGAUUUCUACGGAUUUCGGGGUAAAAGGUGGCUGCUUGCGGCUAUCACCUAUGGAGGGGUUCACGUUCCAUCAGGUUGUUGGUGAGGUAAAGGCUCACCAAGCCUAAGACGGAUAGUUGGCCUUAGCGGGUGGCCAACCACACGGGGACUGAGACACGGCCCCGACUCCUACGGGAGGCAGCAGUGAGGAAUAUUGGGCAAUGGGCGCAAGCCUGACCCAGCGACGUCGCGUGGGGGACGAAGGCCCUCGGGUCGUAAACCCUUGUCAUAGGGGAAGAUGGGUAUAUGUGCUAAUACCACAUAUACUUGACGGUACCCUAAGAGGAAGCCCCGGCUAACUCCGUGCCAGCAGCCGCGGUAAU
rnacentral:rRNA from 1 species